AAAGAGCAUUGAUGAUUAUAUAUUUUUUUACCUACAUUGUUUGAUUUUAAAUGAUAAUAACAAGUUCUGAGCUCUCA